rnacentral:lncRNA from 1 species
GUUUAAGGCCGGCUCUGCACGCCUGUGGUGGGCUGUUUCAACUUCAGGGCAACUUUAGAGAACUUCAGUUUAUUUUCGGUUCUGGACGACAGCUGAGACCAGCAGAGCCUGCUGGAGAUGCUGAUGCUGAUGCAGAAGAUGAAGAUUCUGUUAAUGAAGUGGCAGUAGAAGAUAUCCGUCCAAGGCCACAGGGAUCCUCUCCGGUUUAUGAAUAUUCCGUAGAAGAAGAAUAUUUAAAGGCAAGACACUGAGGUUUCGUGCAUGCGUGGAUUUAAUGAGUUGCAUGCGUGGAUUUAAU